GUGUCAGCCGCCGCGGUAAUACGGAGGGCGCAAGCGUUACUCGGAAUCACUGGGCGUAAAGAGCGUGUAGGCGGACUAAUAAGUCAGAAGUGAAAUCCAAUAGCUUAACUAUUGAACUGCUUUUGAAACUGUUUGUCUAGAGUGUGGGAGAGGUAGAUGGAAUUUCUGGUGUAGGGGUAAAAUCCGUAGAUAUCAGAAGGAAUACCGAUUGCGAAGGCGAUCUACUGGAACAUAACUGACGCUGAGACGCGAAAGCGUGGGGAGCAAACAGGAUUAGAUACCCCGGUAGUCC
rnacentral:rRNA from 1 species